GUACUGCUGAAGAGUCCCAAACUAGAACGAAACGGAUGUUCAGUAC
rnacentral:hammerhead_ribozyme from 1 species